rnacentral:rRNA from 1 species
CAGCCGCCGCGGUAAUACGAGGGGGGCAAGCGUUGUUCGGAAUUAUUGGGCGUAAAGGGUGCGUAGGCGGUUUGGCAAGUUUGGUGUGAAAUCUUCGGGCUCAACUCGAAGUCUGCAUCGAAAACUGCCGGGCUUGAGUAUGGGAGAGGUGAGUGGAAUUUCCGGUGUAGCGGUGAAAUGCGUAGAUAUCGGAAGGAACACCUGUGGCGAAAGCGGCUCACUGGACCAUAACUGACGCUGAUGCACGAAAGCUAGGGGAGCAAACAGGAUUAGAUACCCCAGUAGUCCCUGUCUCUUAUAC